ACAUGCUUACAACUUAGCGUUAAUACACCAUAUCCCAUUAGAACUCUGUAGUUAAGCAUGCUCAGGCUAGAGUAGUACUGGGAUGGGUGACCACCUGAUAAGUCCUAGUAUUUUACAUGCC
rfam:Picea glauca, whole genome shotgun sequence.